AGAGAACGCAGCCAGGUGGUAAGAUCUGUCCCUGAGGGGUGGCUCAUCGGGGCUGAUUUAUGUGCACUCUUUUGCUUUACUGAAACCAAAAGCAAUGAGAUCUUUCUUUGGACUGAAGGCUGAAGGAGUGGAACUGACCUGGUAGGUAACGAUACUGGCUGGCCCACACUCCAGCCAGUUAGCUGGCAUCCAGCCUUGCUCUGUCUCAGAUGCUGGAAAAGGCAUUAUAAUUAGAUUUUUCCACCUUUGCUGCAAAAUAACUGUCAAUUGUCUUGCGUGCCCAACCACGGGUGCACCACCCUUACUGAAGGUUUAAUCCAUAUGCCGAGAAAUUACGUGGGGAUCAAAUGCACACUGUACUAGAGAAUGACUCCAGAUUGUUCUCGAUGGUAGGGUUUCAUCUGAAAAUAAGUGCUGAUUUACAUGCAUUUCCAUCUAAAAUGCAAAUCACAGGGUUCCCCAGUGGAGAGCAGAAGGAAAGCUGAAGGCAGCUAGCUAGCUUCCUCCUUUAUCUGCAAAGCAGAGGUCCCAUUGGUCUUUAGAGUAGCGAACCCCCCAAAGAUGUUCCCGUCAGCAGCCCCAUACACAAAAUGUAAAACACCCGAUUAUGUGUGCACAGGCCCCUUUAUGCUCCCCGGUGGCACUUCUGAACCUCGCAUCUUCCAUCUGCACCUGAUUUUCAGGGGGGCGCAGUUGCCCCCUCUCCACUGCGUGUUCACCACACAGGAGACAGAGGCGGCGCUGCGGGGGCGGCGGGGGGGAGCUUCUUUUUCAGAGAAAACCAUGACGAAGGGGGCACAUGGUACCUGGUCACUCCCGGGAGAGGAUCAGGAUGAGUCAGGCUGAGGUCCAGACCGACAUCUGCAUGGACGCGGAGGAAUUGCCAGGCCCGGAAUCGGAACUGACGCUAAAGCUUGAUCCGGUUCACACCUGCACGUCAGCCCUUAGCAUCUUUGAGACCCUGCUCUUUUCAUCCUGUGGUCCCUUCCUCUGGCCACCAGUCUUCAUUACCUUCUGCUCAGCCUGCUGGAGCUCAUCGCCCUGGCCCGAGCCUGGAGAGACCGAACAGCCAGGCAGGCCCCUGAGGGCAGGGCCCAUGGCCAGCACUGGGGGGAGAGGCCAGAGAGCCCUGGGGCUCCAUCCAGAUGGCCCAAGAUCAAGAUCACCAAGGGAUGUUGGACUGAGGGCAAGAGAUGGGCUGAUCCACGAAGGAGAUGUUAUGGUUGUUAUUCCUUGGAAGCAUGGGCCUCAACCUUUCUCUUUUCUUUUAAAAUGUCUUUAUUGGGGCUUCUGUUGCGGCUCAGCGGAUUAA
rnacentral:lncRNA from 1 species